rnacentral:rRNA from 1 species
CCUACGGGAGGCAGCAGUGGGGAAUAUUGGGCAAUGGGCGCAAGCCUGACCCAGCAACGCCGCGUGAAGGAAGAAGGCUUUCGGGUUGUAAACUUCUUUUCUGAGGGACGAAGAAAGUGACGGUACCUCAGGAAUAAGCCACGGCUAACUACGUGCCAGCAGCCGCGGUCAUACGUAGGAUCCGAGCAUUAUCCGGAGUGACUGGGUGUAAAGAGUUGCGUAGGUGGCAUAAUAAGUAGCUAGUGAAAUCUGGUGGCUCAACCAUUCAGACUAUUAGCUAAACUGUUAAGCUCGAGACCGUUAGGGGUAACUGGAAUUUCUAGUGUAGGAGUGAAAUCCGUAGAUAUUAGAAAGAACACCAAUAGCGUAGGCAGGUUACUGGGACGGUUCUGACACUAAGGCACGAAAGCGUAGGGAGCAAACGGGAUUAGAUACCCGAGUAGUC